UACGUAGGGGGCUAGCGUUGUCCGGAAUCAUUGGGCGUAAAGCGCGUGUAGGCGGUCCGGUAAGUCCGCUGUGAAAGUCGAGGGCUCAACCCUCGAAUGCCGGUGGAUACUGUCGGGCUUGAGUGCGGGAGAGGCGAGUGGAAUUCCUGGUGUAGCGGUGAAAUGCGCAGAUAUCAGGAGGAACACCGAUUGCGAAGGCAGCUCGCUGGAACGUUACUGACGCUGAGACGCGAAAGCGUGGGGAGCAAACAGG
rnacentral:rRNA from 1 species